rnacentral:rRNA from 1 species
UACGAAGGGGGCUAGCGUUGUUCGGAAUUACUGGGCGUUAAAAGGGGCGCGUAGGCGGACUCUGAUCGUCGGAUGUGAAAAGGUCCUGGGCUCAAUCCUGGGAACGGCAUCCGGAUACGGCGGGGCUCGAGUGUGGGAGAGGUUGUGGAAUUCCCAGUGUAGAGGGUGAAAGUUCGUAGAUAUUGGGAAAGAACACCGGUGGCGAAGGCGGCCGAACUGGACCACAACUGGACGCUGAGGCACGCGAAAGCGUGGGGAGCAAACAGG